GACGAACGCUGGCGGCGUGCUUAACACAUGCAAGUCGAACGGUAAGGCCCUUCGGGGUACACGAGUGGCGAACGGGAGAGUAACACGUGGGUGAUCUGCCCUGCACUUCGGGAUAAGCCUGGUGAACUUGUUCUCAUACCGGAUAGGACCACUGCCUGCAUGGGUGGCUGUGGGAAGCUUUUGCGGUGUGGGAUGGGCCCGCGGCCUAUCAGCUUGUUGGUGGGGUGAUGGCCUACCAAGGCGACGACGGGUCGCCGGCCUGAGAGGGUGACCGGCCACACUGGGACUGAGAUACGGCCCAGACUCCUACGGGAGGCAGCAGUGGGGAAUAUUGCACGAUGGGCGCAAGCCUGAUGCAGCGACGCCGCGUGAGGGAUGACGGCCUUCGGGUUGUAAACCUCUUUCAGCACCGACGAAGCGCAAGUGACGGUAGGUGCAGAAGAAGGACCGGCCAACUACGUGCCAGCCGCCGCCGUAA
rnacentral:rRNA from 1 species